ensembl:lncRNA LINC00616 long intergenic non-protein coding RNA 616
AGGCCACUAUUUGAAUGUGUGUUGCUCCUUGUGGCAGGUAUACUGUUCCAAUGCCCUGGGAUCUCUGUAGUGGUCGGUACUGUAUUGAUUAUAAAUGGUGAAGUCCUAGUAUCUUGCUAGAGUGAGCUGGCCAGGAUGGUGGAGCUCUACCACCAUUUCACAGGUUAUAGACAGGGGCCACCAGGUUUCAGGAAAGCAGCAAUGACCCCUCAGUAAUAGUUGGAAAGUGUGAUAUGACACUGAGCUUCACUGUGUUGGUGAAGAAGAGGUGAGGAAAAUAAAAGCUGCAGUUUGCCUCCACCUCUGAAGAAGCACAAUACACCUUUCUGGGUUACCAAUGGGAUACUUCCCAACAGCUUUGUCAUCACAUACAAUAUUCUCAAACAAGAUCUUAAUGGCAUCUACUUUCUCCAGGAACACAGCCCCUGACCUGUGUGUGUUUGCGUAGAGAAGGCAUGCUAUGUACCCCCUAGGAUAUAGGCUGACUUUGCAAGAGAGAGUCCGUUUACCACUUAGAACCGUGAACACCACCCCCGCCCUCAUUUAUCUCCAGACUUGAACUAGUGGUUAAAUCCCAACAUGUCCCAGAGAAGUCAAAAGCAUUGUAAAAUCUGGGAAUCUGCCCACCACUCAAGCCUGGGAAAGCUGGCAGAGGAUGCACGUGUUUUACUCACCUGAGUGUUUACAAUGCUCGUGAGGUGCCUCCCUGAUAUUUCACUUGACUUGAAUGGACAAUUCCUAAUGCUGUUCAGCUACUGUCAGCAGUAAUGCCUUAAGGUAAUGAUAGCAUCUCACAGUUCAGUUUAAGGAAGCAAUACAGAGACAUGCAAAUCAUCCCUAAGACAUGAGUACUCCAUGUGAGGGUGUUGUGAGGGCCUAAGAAGAAAGACAAUCAUUUGGGACAACGUUCUGAGAAGGGAGAUGGUUGCUGCCCUCGUGGAUUUAACAGACUUGGUUAUGUGGCUAGUUUUCUUUUUCUUCUUCCAUACCUGAACUGUGGUACUCAAGAGAAUCAUCUGAAGCUUGUGUUGGACAGGACAGGCAAUAACUUCAAACUGAAUAAUGAGGCCCAAGAUGGACAGUCCCUCGUUGAGGGUCAGAGCCAGCACCCUUGUAGACUGUGACUACUAGGCCAACUCCUAGAGCUAGAGUUCCAUAUGGACAAGGACAAGCUCUAGCUAGAUCAGAGCAAUUUCAUCACAAAGCAAGUUUUAUUUUCAAUCAUCGCUGCAGACCACAAAGGUCAGGCUAAAUAUCGACAGAUCUCUAUUGUGGGAAAAUUUGGACUUUUGGCUUAUUAUCAGUACUCAACCUUGAUAGGCAGCACCAGAUUAACUGCUAAAGAUUCUAUGCAUCUUUAUCUCAUUAGCCUUUUACAUUUUAUCCUGUUUCUUAGCCUCGGCUGGGGGACGGGUACAGUCAACUCCCACUGGAGCAACAACAUAAAAGGUGGGAAGGAAAAUGUUUAUGUUGACACCAGGGUAGUGAAAGCUAUCCAAGCUAUGGGGAAUUUAAUGCUGAGGAAAGGCAAGAUCAGGGUGGAGCAUCCGGCUGGGGUAGCUGCCUUUCACUGGACCCCUACCAGCCCAGUUUGGGACAUGCAAGGGGAACAGCACAUAGAUAAAGCUUUCUCAAGGUUUAUGAAAGAACAGACGGCAGCACAGCUAACCUCCAGUGCAAAUAAAAAUCAUACAUUUAAGGAAA